GAGGUACUCCCUCUGUUCGGAAUUACUUGUCUUGGAAAUAGAUGUAUCUAGACGUAUUUUCGUUCUAGAUACAUCCAUUUCCAAGACAAGUAAUUCCGAACGGAGGGAGUAGUAG
rfam:Triticum aestivum genome assembly, contig: Triticum_aestivum_CS42_TGACv1_scaffold_374092_5AL